CGAAUAACAGAGGCAGCGCGGCCUCCCUCGCCGAGGACAAAAACAUUAAACCGACGUUGAAACUGCUCCGUCUUUUGCUCACUCAGCUUCAUCAAAGCAAGAUGAAGACUCUCUUUUUGUUUCUCUUCUUCUGUCACGGUUCGUCACCAGUGAAACACUCCCUGAAGUAUUUUGUAACUGCGUCUUCUGGAGUCCCAAACUUCCCAGAGUUUGUGGGAGCUGCAGUGGUUGAUGGACAUCUGGCUGCUUCCUGUGACAGCAGCAGAAAGAUACUGGAACCAAAACAGGAGUGGAUGAAAACUUUAUUUGAAAACGAACCUCUGCACUUGGACUGGUACAAUGCAGAGUGUUUUGAGACUCAGCCAAUCUUAUUUAAAGCCACGAUGUACAGCUUGAAGCAGCGCUUCAAUCAAAGUGGAGGUGUCCAUGUUUUCCAGAGGAUGAGUGGCUGUGAGUGGGAUGAUGAGACUGGAGAGGUUCAAGGUUUUAACCAGUACGGUUAUGAUGGAGAAGACUUCAUGUCAUUGGACUUGAAGACGGAGACGUGGAUCGCUCCGAAACCACAGGCUGUGACCAUCAAACUUAGAUGGGACGCUGAGAAAACUAGAACAAAAAUGUUUCUCACUCAAACUUUCCCUGAGUGGCUGAACAAGUAUUUGGCCUUUGGGAAGAGCUCUCUGCAGAGAACAGAGCUCCCCUCAGUGUCUCUCCUCCAGAAGACUCCCUCCUCUCCAGUCAGCUGCCACGCUUCAGGUUUCUACCCUGACAGAGCCUCACUCAUCUGGAGGAAAGAUGGAGAGGAGCUUCACGAGGGCGUGGACCUCGGAGAGACCCUCCCCAACCACGAUGGAACCUUCCAGAUGAGCGCUGACCUGAAACCUUCAGCGUCUGAAGACUGGGGGAAGUACGAAUGUGUGUUUCAUCUCUCUGGUGUGAAGGACGUCGUCACCAGACUGGACAAAGCAGCGAUCAGGACCAACUGGGGUAAGACUGAGAUCAGAAGGUGCUGAAUGGGACUGCAGGUCUGUUGGUCGUUGAGUGUUAGUCACGAUAGUCACUGGUCAGAUCAUAUGAGCUGAACAAGAUUAUCAAAGGAUCCUUUUUGAGUUUCUUAAAGCCACAGAACGCUUUAAAGUAUUUUUCAGACCGUGUUGUUUUUCCCACACAACGACAGGUUUGUGCUGCCUGUUCACUCUUUACUCAGCUCAGAAUAAAACAACGUUGACACCUACGAAACAUGAUUUUACUCCAUCGUGUCUACUUUGCUGAACUGAGGAGAACUUUAAUGUUCAUCAUCUAAGUUUAAGUGUUUCAGUUCCAUUUUCAUUUAUUUAUGAUGCAUUUAUUUGUUUACAGUGUCAGUAAACAAAUAUCAAUAUUCUUCGUUGAGAAUUCAUUUGUCCUAUAUUUCUACAGUAUUUGAAUGUUGCACGUAGUUUGUUAUGUUUAUACACCUGUUGCAUUGUGGGAUAAGUCUCGCUCGCUCACUCGCUCGCCGGGAAUGAAUGGACAGAGCCAGAGCAUAGACGCAAGGGAAAAAAGUAUUAAGUCGUGGUAACUGUUUCCUCAUUUAGUGUGGUUAGGGACCGUAGCAGUGCAGUGUGAAUCCCUUUCGUUAUGUUUAAUGAAUGAUAGAGUACGUAGUGUGUGUUUGUGAAGAAGACGGAGCGAAGGACUGCUGCUAGCUAACUGAGGGAAGUUAGCUCAGAUCGUCUGCUGCUGUUAAGGAGGACCGGAGUUUCGCUGCUGGCUGGCUAGCGGCGUUGUUCGUAUCGCCGUCUGCUGUUGGCGAGGACCGGAGGUCUGUUGCUGGCUGACUGGGACCGUUAGCUGGUAUCAUCGACUGUGACCAAGGUAACGAGUGACGGUCUGUGUUUUCGGCGGACAUUGUCACCGUUAUUGAGUUCAUCGUUUCUUCGAGACAUCGGCGCCCCGCACCUUCUGCUUCGUUCUCACUCACUCGCUGACAGUCACCUGCACAGCAGCUGCUCUCAUCCUCAUCGCCCCUUCUACCUCCAGGACACACAUCCCCCCAAAGAGCUCCACCCGGCCGCAACGAAACAGAAAAGCCUGGUGACGUGACCAUCCUCCUCACUGCUACAGCGGUUGUCCUUCCUCUCAUCCUCAUCAUCGCUGCUGCUGGAUU